rnacentral:rRNA from 1 species
GCUCAGAUUGAACGCUGGCGGCAGGCCUAACACAUGCAAGUCGAGCGGUAGCACAGAGAGCUUGCUCUCGGGUGACGAGCGGCGGACGGGUGAGUAAUGUCUGGGAAACUGCCUGAUGGAGGGGGAUAACUACUGGAAACGGUAGCUAAUACCGCAUAAUGUCGCAAGACCAAAGUGGGGGACCUUCGGGCCUCAUGCCAUCAGAUGUGCCCAGAUGGGAUUAGCUAGUAGGUGGGGUAACGGCUCACCUAGGCGACGAUCCCUAGCUGGUCUGAGAGGAUGACCAGCCACACUGGAACUGAGACACGGUCCAGACUCCUACGGGAGGCAGCAGUGGGGAAUAUUGCACAAUGGGCGCAAGCCUGAUGCAGCCAUGCCGCGUGUGUGAAGAAGGCCUUCGGGUUGUAAAGCACUUUCAGCGGGGAGGAAGGCGUUAAGGUUAAUAACCUUGGCGAUUGACGUUACCCGCAGAAGAAGCACCGGCUAACUCCGUGCCAGCAGCCGCGGUAAUACGGAGGGUGCAAGCGUUAAUCGGAAUUACUGGGCGUAAAGCGCACGCAGGCGGUCUGUCAAGUCGGAUGUGAAAUCCCCGGGCUCAACCUGGGAACUGCAUUCGAAACUGGCAGGCUAGAGUCUUGUAGAGGGGGGUAGAAUUCCAGGUGUAGCGGUGAAAUGCGUAGAGAUCUGGAGGAAUACCGGUGGCGAAGGCGGCCCCCUGGACAAAGACUGACGCUCAGGUGCGAAAGCGUGGGGAGCAAACAGGAUUAGAUACCCUGGUAGUCCACGCCGUAAACGAUGUCGAUUUGGAGGUUGUGCCCUUGAGGCGUGGCUUCCGGAGCUAACGCGUUAAAUCGACCGCCUGGGGAGUACGGCCGCAAGGUUAAAACUCAAAUGAAUUGACGGGGGCCCGCACAAGCGGUGGAGCAUGUGGUUUAAUUCGAUGCAACGCGAAGAACCUUACCUGGUCUUGACAUCCACAGAACUUUCCAGAGAUGCUUUGGUGCCUUCGGGAACUGUGAGACAGGUGCUGCAUGGCUGUCGUCAGCUCGUGUUGUGAAAUGUUGGGUUAAGUCCCGCAACGAGCGCAACCCUUAUCCUUUGUUGCCAGCGGUUMGGCCGGGAACUCAAAGGAGACUGCCAGUGAUAAACUGGAGGAAGGUGGGGAUGACGUCAAGUCAUCAUGGCCCUUACGACCAGGGCUACACACGUGCUACAAUGGCAUAUACAAAGAGAAGCGACCUCGCGAGAGCAAGCGGACCUCAUAAAGUAUGUCGUAGUCCGGAUUGGAGUCUGCAACUCGACUCCAUGAAGUCGGAAUCGCUAGUAAUCGUAGAUCAGAAUGCUACGGUGAAUACGUUCCCGGGCCUUGUACACACCGCCCGUCACACCAUGGGAGUGGGUUGCAAAAGAAGUAGGUAGCUUAACCUUCGGGAGGGCGCUUACCACUUUGUGAUUCAUGACUGGGGUGAAGUCGUAACAAGGUAACCGUA